GCAGUUAAGAUUUCUGUCGCAAUUAUUUGUGCUUUAACUCUUUCUUUUGUUGCUUUCUACUUUUCCUUCUUCAUAUACAAUGACUAAUGCUUACAAUGGGAAAGCUGUGAUUAUUUCCGUGGUACGUUCUCCUGAAUGUUGGCCAAGACUGUGGUCCUUUGCAUUAGUCAUCGCAUCGUUUCCUGGACAUGUUUAUAUCUUUGCAUGCUUGUUGGAGAAAAACCUUGAGAGGGCAAGUUCAACCUUCAGAAGGAAAAUAUUUUGUGGGGAGAGUUCAACUGCCGUCCAAACACCUAGUAUUCAUAAAAAAAGCAAAAAGAUAUUUUAUUAGCAAAAACAAUAAUAGUAAUAAAGAAAGGAAGAAAAAUACUGAUGCUUUUCACCCAGCUGAUUCUUCUGAUCCAUUAUCCUGCAAGGAAUGUUAGUAUUUUAUAUGCAGAUGUCAACCAACAUGACCUUCAUUGGUAGACGGGGAGAAGGAAAGGCAAAAGAACCGACAAGAAUGAAGGAGCAAAUUUGAUAAAUGCUGGAGAAAACUAGACUGCAGUUGAUAUAUGAAAAUAUUUUUUCAAGUUCUUAUUUUGUAUAUUUUGGUGAAGAAAUAUGUACAUUAGUUGAAAAUGAAAAUAGUUAUUAAAAAUGAAAUAACAAUAUGGCAUGACUUUGAAGAUAACCAAAAAACUGUUUAAAGUUUUUUUUUCUAGAAAGUUGUUUUUCUCUGAACUUAGUAUGAGAUUUACAUAUAUGUAUAUAUACAUGCAUAUUUGUGCUUGCUUACGUAUCUAUAAAAGCAUGUGCACACAUAUGUACAUAUAUAUGCUGGAAUUGUAUUCAUGCUCACAUACAUAGUACAUAUAAAUGUGUUAUAUGCAUAUAACUGAACAUAUGUACAUGCAUACUCACAGAGAAAAACACGUGUAAAAUCUGUGUAGAAAAAUGAGAACUAAGAAGUAUUUUCAUAUCCCGAAUAUAGCCCUAUGUUCUAGAUUGUUUUCUUCUUUCUUAAAAAAAAAUCAAAACAAGAGUUUCAUGGUUUUUGCUCGAUAGGGUGAUCACAGAAAUUGUUGAUGUUGGCCCCCCUGCUGACUGGGUGAAGAUAAACGUGCGUGAAAGUGUAAGUGUGUGUUUAUUUUUUCCUCGUUGUCCUCACAAUCAAUUCUCCCACCUUGGCACACCUCUGGAGAAAUUGCUCAUUGUUACAAUGUCAAGUUCUAAUCAGUUGCACAUUCCUGAAUGUACAGAAAGAUUGUUUCGAGGUGUAUGCAUUGGUCCCUGGGCUUCUGCGUGAAGAGGUAAGUCAAUCAACGUUCAUUAGGAUAUAUAUACAGGCAUGUUAAAUCAUUCUUCUUUCCAAGAUGAUUAGCUUACUAUUCUGGAGAGAAAGAGAGAUACUUCUCAAAAAAGAUUAUCUUUUAGUUUAAGUGGUGGGUGGUAUUAUUCACUCAUCUUAUGGUGUGUACAGAGUUGAAAAUGAAUUUUAUGCCCUAAUGGGUAUUUUGGAUGGCAGUUGUGUUUUAUUUCAGUAUUGCUGCUUAGCUUAUUGUGCUAACCUUUUCUUCCGCUACUCCAUUUCAGGUGCGAGUUCAAUCUGACCCAGCUGGACGAUUGGUUAUAACAGGUCAACCAGAGCAGAUUGACAAUCCUUGGGGCAUUACACCCUUUAAGAAGGUAUUUUCUCCAAUUUGUUAACACAAUUGAAUGAGACCCUCAUUCUACUUUACCUGAGGAUUAUGGGUAUGAAGAUAUCUAGCUACUGUUAAUGGAACCUAAAAGCAAACCUAUUCGUUCUCACACUACUUAACACUAUCCUAUGUUCGUGAUACCAUUACAAUUUAGCUAUUGGUAGCAUAAAGUAUUCAAGCUAUUUACAAAAGCUAGAAAUUUGGAAAAAAUAAAACUUCUGUAUUGCCUUACUAGAGCUGUGCUUUUCAGGUUGUCAACUUACCUGCAAGAAUUGAUCCGCUUCAGACAUCUGCUGUUGUUAGCCUGCAUGGCCGACUAUAUGUACGAGUUCCCUUUGAGCAAGGAUCGCUCUGAACUUUUCCUUAGCGUCAUGAGUCAGGUCAAUCAAUUUUCCUGUAUAGGGAUCAAUUAAAAUUCUUAGGAAAGAUCAAGGCAUGUAGGUCUGUAGGAAUUUCUUUGAAAAAAUGUAGGCCCUUUGGAACUAAACACAGUCCUUUUGAUCAGUCAUUUGCCCCCAACUAGCAUUCAUCUUUUUUGCGAUUGUUAAAUGAAUUCAAAUGACUAACCAUAUCAAGGCAGAUAAUUUCCAUUGCACCUCAGAAAGAGUUUUGGAAUCCAUAAAUUAUGGAUGCCCGAUGAUUUAAACUUGAUUUUAAGAACGGAGUCUUAUCCUUUCUCUGGUUUAGGGGGUGUUAUUGAGUUGUGGUUGUAGCAAACUUUUGGGUAGCCAGGGAGAUAAGGCUCUCUUACUGGGUUGCGUUUUACAUAGGUUUAGAUGUUCGCGUCCAUAACCUAAAUGGGGAGAUGAUGAUUAAUGAAUUGUGUGUUGCAUGUGAUGCUCGCUAAAUACAUACGCCAUUGGGCACACUGUUGGGCACAAGCGUUCCACUUCAUCUUUGUGUCCACCUUUUGACAAUAAUGGUGUUUAAAUAUGAUAAAAUCGAAGAGUCGGUCUUUGUGACUAGGGAGGUGGAUCUGAUGACAGUAGCCCAACUAGUAGUACAUUUUGUUUGGUUGGGCACUGAAGAUAAGCCCGUUAUCAUUAAAAAACUUAUAUGUAAGAAAUUUAGAUGAUUGAUUUGCCCUGUUGGUGCUGGAGAGCUGGAUAUUUCAGAUAUGUCCAUGCAAGGUCGCUGUCAUGCAUUAAUUUAUCCCUGCCCUUAUAUUUCCAUUUCAAACAAAUAAAACAAAAUUGGGAAAAACUCCAUUGAAUGAAAUUCUUCACUGGUCUCGUUUUACACUAAAUGUCAAAAAAUUCCAAGCAGUAGCUAUAGUUUUCUGUGGGCUCAAUAUCCAAAUGAUGUGUAUGUUAAUGGCUAAUCUGUUGAUCAUGUGAUAUUGAAACAUAUACCCUGUUCCUUCUCUGGUCGUCUUACAAAUCCCUCAGUCUGAAAAACAAAUAAAGAAACCAACAAAACAAGUGACAAACAAAAACCCAACACGGACUGUAAAGUGCAGUGAUGGGAGCUUAAAUAAAGCAUUUUGCAGCCUUUGGUUUCUAAAAAGAAACUAUAACAACGAUGAUUGGCAGCUCCUUCUGCGUCUACAAGCUUCGUUAAUCUCCUUAGAAAAAGCUUAUGAGAAAAAGUGGCAUGGGUAACUCCAGGGUUAUUAUCCGGAGAGGCUGGUGGCUAAAGCCAAGGCGUUUCUCAGUGCAACAUCUGCGGAUAAGUUUGUUUCCAUUGGUCAGGUGUUUGAGCAAGCUCAAAUUUCCAUAUUUGGAAGCCAUAAAACUGGUAAAGAAAAGUAUGACAAGGAGAGUAAUGGGGAAGACUGGUGAUGAUCAGAUUGGGGCAAAGGACAAGCACAAUAGAAGAAUAAGAAGUAGAAGAAGAUUGUUGAUACCAAAUGGAAGUGGUUGCAGUAUCUCAAGAUCAUAUCAACACUGCCCAGUUUCAGAUGCAAUCUCUGAUUGCUUGGAAUUCAUCAAAAUAUCUCAAGAUGAAAACUCCUCAAUUUCCACUUGAUUUCAGUUUGAAGAUGGUAGAUGCAGUUUAAUCUCUUCUUGCAAUCGGCAAAAGUUCUUUUCAGUUAUCAGUUUGGGUCAACGCCAUUUCAGUGUACUUCCUUUUAUCGAUUUAUUUGGGUUUUAUUAAUUUCUCUCAAUCAAAACUGGCUACUCGGAAAUUUUCUAACCGUAGUUAUGAGCAUCCAAAUUAUAUAACCGAUACUCAGAUUUAAGUUCUUUGGUGGAUUAAAUUAGGCUAAUUUGCUUUAUUAUUUGUAUUUUUAAUUAUUACUCGUAAACUCAGAUUUGUUUGUUAGC
rnacentral:lncRNA from 1 species